ACUCCGAAACUGCAUUCGAUACUGCCGUGCUUGAGGACUGGAGAGGGGACUGGAAUUUACGGUGUAGCGGUGAAAUGCGUAGAUAUCGUAAGGAAGACCAGUGGCGAAGGCGGGUCUCUGGACAGUUCCUGACGCUGAGGCACGAAGGCCAGGGGAGCAAACGGGAUUAGAUACCCCGGUAGUCCUGGCAGUAAACGGUGCACGUUUGGUGUGGGAGGAUUCGACCCCUUCUGCGCCGGAGCUAACGCGUUAAACGUGCCGCCUGGGAGUACGGCCGCAAGGUUGAAACUCAAAGGAAUUGACGGGGGCCCGCACAAGCGGUGGAGCAUGUGGUUCAAUUCGAUGCAGAGCGAAGAACCUUACCUGGGCUUGACAUGUAGGAAGUAGAAACCGGAAACGGUGACGACCUGUU
rnacentral:rRNA from 1 species